AGGCUUUGUCUCAAAAAGGACUUGCCUCAUUAGUUAUACAAACAAGCUAAUAGGGUAGUUUGGCAGGACACACAGCCAUCUCCCUUUCAGUUUAGGAAGGCCGGUCGUAAGAAUAGGACUAGCUCUGCAAGGCAAGAGGACAAU
ensembl:scaRNA